rnacentral:rRNA from 1 species
GACGAAGGAUGCAAGCGUUAUCCGGAUUCAUUGGGUUUAAAGGGUGCGUAGGCGGGCUUGUAAGUCAGUGGUGAAAUCUCUUUGCUUAACAAAGAAACUGCCAUUGAUACUGCAGGCCUAGAGUAUAGAUGACGUUGGCGGAAUAUGACAUGUAGUGGUGAAAUACUUAGAUAUGUCAUAGAACACCGAUUGCGAAGGCAGCUAACGAAACUAUAACUGACGCUGAGGCACGAAAGUGCGGGGAUCAAACAGG